AUGAACGCGGGAGGAGGGAGGACCACAUGCAAGUCGAACGGAAAGGCCCAAGCUUGCUUGGGUACUCGAGUGGCGAACGGGUGAGUAACACGUGGGUGAUCUGCCCUGCACUUCGGGAUAAGCCUGGGAAACUGGGUCUAAUACCGGAUAGGACGAUGGUUUGGAUGCCAUUGUGGAAAGUUUUUUCGGUGUGGGAUGAGCUCGCGGCCUAUCAGCUUGUUGGUGGGGUAAUGGCCUACCAAGGCGUCGACGGGUAGCCGGCCUGAGAGGGUGUACGGCCACAUUGGGACUGAGAUACGGCCCAGACUCCUACGGGAGGCAGCAGUGGGGAAUAUUGCACAAUGGGCGCAAGCCUGAUGCAGCGACGCCGCGUGGGGGAUGACGGCCUUCGGGUUGUAAACUCCUUUCGCUAGGGACGAAGCGUUUUUGUGACGGUACCUGGAGAAGAAGCACCGGCUAACUACGUG
rnacentral:rRNA from 1 species